GUAGGUGGCAAGCGUUGUCCGGAAUUAUUGGGCGUAAAGCGCGCGCAGGCGGUUCUUUAAGUCUGAUGUGAAAGCCCACGGCUCAACCGUGGAGGGUCAUUGGAAACUGGAGAACUUGAGUGCAGAAGAGGAAAGCGGAAUUCCACGUGUAGCGGUGAAAUGCGUAGAGAUGUGGAGGAACACCAGUGGCGAAGGCGGCUUUCUGGUCUGUAACUGACGCUGAGGCGCGAAAGCGUGGGGAGCAAACAGGAUUAGAUACCCUGGUAGUCCACGCCGUAAACGAUGAGUGCUAAGUGUUAGGGGGUUUCCGCCCCCCUUAGUGCUGCAGCUAACGCAUUAAGCACUCCGCCUGGGAGUACGGCCGCAAGGCUG
rnacentral:rRNA from 1 species